UUCCAGACUCCUACGGGAGGCAGCAGUGAGGAAUAUUGGUCAAUGGGCGGGAGCCUGAACCAGCCAAGUCGCGUGAGGGAAGAAGGUACUGAGUAUUGUAAACCUCUUUUGCCAGGGGACAAAGGCGGCCACGGGUGGCCGUAAGAGGGUACCUGGAGAAAAAGCAUCGGCUAACUCCGUGCCAGCAGCCGCGGUAAUACGGAGGAUGCGAGCGUUAUCCGGAUUUAUUGGGUUUAAAGGGUGCGCAGGCGGCGUGUCAAGUCAGCGGUAAAAUGUCGGGGCUCAACCCCGGCCGGCCGUUGAAACUGGCGGGCUGGAGUUGGAGAGAAGUACGCGGAAUGCGCGGUGUAGCGGUGAAGUGCUUAGAUAUCGCGCAGAACCCCGAUUGCGAAGGCAGCGUACCGGCUCCACACUGACGCUGAGGCACGAAAGCGUGGGUAUCGAACAGGAUUAGAUACCCGCGUAUUG
rnacentral:rRNA from 1 species